rnacentral:rRNA from 1 species
CCUACGGGAGGCAGCAGUCGAGAAUCAUUCACAAUGGGGGAAACCCUGAUGGUGCGACGCAGCGUGGGGGAAUGAAGGUCUUCGGAUUGUAAACCCCUGUCAUGUGGGAGCAAAUUAAAAAGAUAGUACCACAAGAGGAAGAGACGGCUAACUCUGUGCCAGCAGCCGCGGUAAUACAGAGGUCUCAAGCGUUGUUCGGAAUCACUGGGCGGAAAGCGUGCGUAGGCUGUUUCGUAAGGCGUGUGUGAAAGGCGCGGGCUCAACCCGCGGACGGCACAUGAUACUGCGGGCCUAGAGUAAUGGAGGGGGAACCGGAAGUCUCGGUGUAGCAGUGAAAUGCGUAGAUAUCGAGAGGAACACUCGUGGCGAAGGCGGGUUCCUGGACAUUAACUGACGCUGAGGCACGAAGGCCAGGGGAGCGAAAGGGAUUAGAUACCCGUGUAGUC